rnacentral:lncRNA from 1 species
UAAUAAUAGAGCCACAAACUCUUGUACAAAUUUAGUUUGUACAAACUCAUGUGGCAUGAUAAGAUUGGUUGAAUUAAAUAUCAUUUGGCCCACAUGAUUUGUUUUUAUUAUUUUAUAUUUUUAUUCAACCAAUAAAUUAAUGCCACGUCAGUUUGUACAAGAUAAAUUUGUGCAAAAGUUUGUGGCUGUAUCAUCACUCUAAUAUUAAUAAUAUAUGGCGUACAAAUAAUGUAAAAGCAAAACAGCUUGUAUUUCCCUUUCAAUGUUUGAAACUGUCUACUGGAGAAAGGAAAAAUAAGUAAAAAUUUAUGAAAAUAACCAUAAAAUUUUAGUAUUUUCUAAAUUUAACCCCUAACUUUUUUCUUAUCAUAAUUAGCCAAAGACUAAACUUUUGGUCCAAAAUACCCCAGUCAAACUAGCCUAAGUCGUUCUUCUCACCUCACCAUCGUCGACAACUUCCUGUCAAAUCUCUCCUGAAAAUCAUUCCUCUCACCGAAAUCUCUCUCACUGCAAUGCAAUCCACCCAUCUUCAAUGACUUCCUGUCAAAUCUCUCAACAAAAUUGUUCUCGUCACCCAAAUCACUGGCAUUAACUGUGCAAUGAGAAGAACCAAGGUGAGCUAUUUUCUUUAUGCUUUAUUUCAUUAGUGAAGAAUGAAAUUUGAGAGUAAUGUUGGUAGUAAUUUGAGAGUAAUUGUGGUGUUAGCGGUUGUUGUGGUGGUGGUUGUUGGAGAGUGUGCAAUGGGCUAGCCAUCGCACAAAAUUUGGGUGCAAUUGUUGCCCUCGCACCAAAACACAGUUCUUGUACUUUUUCUUUAUCUUAAUUUUUAUUUUAU